rnacentral:ncRNA from 1 species
ACUGUUUCUUGGGAUUGACUUUGGGCUUUUUCUGCUCAGCUUAAGGGCUUGAGCCAUCAGUGAGAUACCAUUCUGGAAAAGCUAGAAUUCUAACCUUGUGGUAAGACCUACGGGCCAAGGGAUAGUCUCAGGUAAAUAAUUUCUAUAGGGCGUAAACCUCCCAAAAGGUAACGGAGGCGUGCAAAGGUUUUCUCGGUCCGGACGGAGAUUGGCCCUCGAGUGCAAAGGCAGAAGGGAGCUUGGCUGAACCCCGUAAAAUCAUUUCAUAGAAGUUCAUUGAUAUUUUCUUUUUAUAAAGCAAAUCGAC